AUCUGGCUGUAGCAGCACAUCAUUACUGGUAUUUCUUUUCACUGCAUUACCAGUAUGUUAUGUGCUGCUUCAGUCAGAC
rfam:Oreochromis niloticus linkage group LG3, whole genome shotgun sequence.